rnacentral:rRNA from 1 species
UACAGAGGUCUCAAGCGUUGUUCGGAUUCAUUGGGCGUAAAGGGCGCGUAGGCUGCGGGGCAAGUCGGGUGUGAAAUCUCAGAGCUCAACUCUGAAACUGCACUCGAUACUGCUUUGCUUGAGGACUGGAGAGGAGAUUGGAAUUCACGGUGUAGCAGUGAAAAUGCGUAGAUAUCGUGAGGAAGACCAGUGGCGAAGGCGGAUCUCUGGACAGUUCCUGACGCUGGAGGCGCGAAGGCCAGGGGAGCAAACGGG